CGAAUGGAUGUCGAGAGUCUUCUUCCCCAAUGCGAUAACUCGCAAGGGAGAGGCUGAGGGAGUGUGAGAACAGGUGACGGACGCGCAAUGGAGUUCCUCAUGCAGAGAUCGACUCUGAUUGAAAAGCUCGGGGAGAGUUGGUCCCGGGAGAUACACUGGCGGAUGGUACCAGGCGGACGUUGGUAGAGGUGGCGCCGCCGGAGGGCACGAGUGUGAGCGAUGAAGGGUUGAUCUGAGGCGCAUCUGGACUGGCAAGGAGCAAAGAUGGUCGAAUUUGCAGGGCGGCUCAAGCUGCAGCAGGUAGAAGGUUCGCCUCCGACUUCUGAGUUGUCGACAUGGAAGAUGAAUCCCCAGGCUCCUGGAUGGAAUAAGAGGCUGAGAAUUUGUGUUGCCGCUCCUAGCAGGACCGCUUUCCCAAAAUCGCGUUAGUGCAUUUGAGAAGGCAGUAAAGGUGUUCAUAGAAAACCCGACUGAAAAUGUUAUCUCUCCAGCGCUGGGUACUACUUUUGACUCGCUGGGUGAAGCAUAUGAUUUCUACAACUUGUAUCCUUGGGAGAAGGGGCUUGGGAUUAGGUAUGGUAAAAUCCAGCUCAAUGAUGAGAGGAGGAAGUGUAUGCAGGAAAUUUUCUGUGGAUGCUCGGCAUCAUCAGCUUGCUCGGCAACUUGGAGCAGAGCUUGAUGCGGAAUAUGAGAUGGAGAGAGCAACCCGCGCACCGACACUGAAUGUGCAGACGGGUUUGGUUCAAGGGGUUAUUGACAUCUCCGACGAUGAAAUCAAAGAUGAAGUUGAUUUGGAAGAAAGCAAUGAUGACGUUGAUUCAAAAGAAUGGUCUAAUGAUCCUAAGCAUGGUAAUCUUAUUGAGACAAAUAGAAGGCUAAGGGAGCAAGAGUAGAAAGAUGCAGAAGUCGUGAAGAUGUAUCAAGAAAUGUAUGAUAAAAAUGUUGAUCUGCAAGAAGAACAAGGCCGUGAGGUUGCAAUCAUGUGUCAAAAAAUGUAUGAUCAAAAUGGUACCGAAGCUCAGAUCGCCAAUGCAUUAGCAACAUAAAACUUGCUCAGGAGGUUGAGCCUGCAGGUCAAGAAACAAGCCCCACAGAGGGUGGCCAUAGAGCUGCUCUGUCAACUGUGGUUGCAACUGUUCCGGUUAAUGAAAAAGCCGAUGAGAGUUGCCAUCACUGGCAGGCAAAUAUCGGAGGACAGGCGUACAUUAGUGGUGCAUCCCCGAUAAGGAACAUGAGUUCCCUAAAGGGGCUAUGGAGACGGAAAGGGAAGAAGAAGUGGAACAGAGGAUCAAAGAGGAAGCAGAAGGUGUGGUUCUCCAACAUUGUGGAGACCAUAUGCCUAUCAGAUUCCUCUGAGAGCGAAGACAGUUCUAGCGAUGAUGGAACACAUCAAGCAGGCAUGACGAUGAGCUCAUACAUCUUCCUGGUAGCAAUAAAAGAUGGUUUUGAUACAUCGGUGGCAAAUGACAUUCUGUCGGCGAGGUCAAUUAGGGCGGAAGAGCCACGGAUAGCCAUGUCAAGAAAUCCAGCAAGCAGUGGAGAUGUUGUUGCUCCGCACAGACGUGCAAGGAAGUUAUGUGCAAGGAAGAAGCUGAGGAAGUCAUGGCCGCCGAUCUAGUUUCUUGCGGUGCGGUUGGAGAGGAGAAGAGCAUCAAGAUGCAGGCAGACGCAGACAUCCGCAAGCCCACUUUGUCCACGCUGCAAAAAAGGUAAACAGACUCGUGGAAGAGCCACAGGAUUUAAGUGGGUUGGACAGACUUAUCCUGCCUGAUGUGCUAGGCCUGCCUAGCCUGCGAGGAGAGAGCACAUAUAAGUGAAUAGAUUGGCGGCUGGUAGGGCAAGCUUCCGCCGUUCCCCACAGCUAGGUCGGCGUCUCGCUCAUCCCUGCUGG